rnacentral:rRNA from 1 species
GAUGAACGCUGGCGGCGUGCCUAAUACAUGCCAGUCGAGCGAACGGACGAGAAGCUUGCUUCUCUGAUGUUAGCGGCGGGCGGGUGAGUAACACGUGGAUAACCUACCUAUAAGACUGGGAUAACUUCGGGAAACCGGAGCUAAUACCGGAUAAUAUUUUGAACCGCAUGGUUCAAAAGUGAAAGACGGUCUUGCUGUCACUUAUAGAUGGAUCCGCGCUGCAUUAGCUAGUUGGUAAGGUAAGGGCUUACCAAGGCAACGAUGCAUAGCCGACCUGAGAGGGUGAUCGGCCACACUGGAACUGAGACGCGGUCCCGGGUCCUACGGGAGGCAGCAGUAGGGAAUCUUCCGCAACAGGCGAAAGCCUGACAGAGCAACGCCGAGUGAGUGAUAGAGGUCUUCGGAUCGUAAAACUCUGUUAUUAGGGAAGAACAUAUGUGUAAGUAACUGUAGACAUCUUGACGGUACCUAAUCAGAAAGCCACGGCUAACUACGUG